rnacentral:rRNA from 1 species
AGAGUUUGAUCAUGGCUCAGAUUGAACGCUGGCGGCGUGGCUAAAGCAUGCAAGUCGUACGUGCCCGCAAGGGCAAGUGGCGGACGGGUCAGUAAUACGAUCGAACGUACCCUGAGGUGGAGGAUAGCGGCGGGAAACUGCCGGUAAUACUCCAUGAUCUCUCCGGAGCAAAGGGCAACCGCCUUUGGAUCGGCGAUCGUCCUAUCAGCUAGUUGGCGGGGUAACGGCCCACCAAGGCUAUGACGGGUAGCAGGUGUGAGAGCAUGACCUGCGACAUCGGGACUGAGACACUGCCCGGACUCCUACGGGAGGCUGCAGCGACGAAUCUUCCGCAAUGGGCGCAAGCCUGACGGAGCGACGCCGCGUGUGGGAUGAAGCGCCUCCGGCGUGUAAACCACUGUCAGGGGACGGAACCAAUGAUCGUCCCCAAAGGAAGAGACGGCUAACCCUGUGCCAGCAGCCGCGGUAAGACAGGGGUCUCGAGCGUUAAUCGGAAUCACUGGGCUUAAAGGGUGCGUAGGCGGACCCGAACGCGUCCCGUGAAAUCCCCCGGCUCAACCGGGGAACUGCGGGGCGAACGGUGGGUCUCGAGGCAGGUAGGGGUCGCCGGAACCGUAGGUGGAGCGGUGAAAUGCGUAGAUAUCUACGGGAACGCCGAUGGUGAAGACGGGCGACUGGGCCUGUCCUGACGCUGAGGCACGAAAGCGUGGGGAGCAAACAGGAUUAGAUACCCUGGUAGUCCACGCCGUAAACGAUGCGCGCUAGAUCGGUGCGGCUCUGACGCCGUAUCGGUCGGAGUAAAAACGAUAAGCGCGCCGCCUGGGGAGUACGGUCGCAAGGCUAAAACUCAAAGGAAUUGACGGGGGCUCACACAAGCGGUGGAGCAUGUUGCUUAAUUCGAUGCAACGCGAGAACCUUACCUGGGUUUGACAUGGCCGGAUUAGCUCUCGGAAACGGGAGUACACCCCGCAGGUGGAACGGUCACAGGUGCUGCAUGGCUGUCGUCAGCUCGUGCUGUGAAGUGUCGGGUUAAGUCCCUUACGAGCGCAACCCCUGUCGUAGUGCUCCGGGGCAGCAGUACUCUAGCGAGACUGCCGUUGUAGAACGAGAAGGUGGGGAUUAACUUCAAGUCUCUCAUGGCUUAUGUCCAGGGUUGUCAACGUGCUUCAUGGGGCGCCCAACUCAACCCAGGGCCCCAGAGGGGG